GACGUAGGGCGCGAGCGUUGUCCGGAAUUAUUGGGCGUAAAGAGCUCGUAGGCGGUCUGUCGCGUCUGCUGUGAAAACUCGGGGCUUAACCCCGGGCCUGCAGUGGGUACGGGCAGACUAGAGUGCGGUAGGGGAGACUGGAAUUCCUGGUGUAGCGGUGAAAUGCGCAGAUAUCAGGAGGAACACCGGUGGCGAAAGGGCGGGGUCUCUGGGGCCGUAACUGACGCUGAGGAGCGAAAGCGUGGGG
rnacentral:rRNA from 1 species